rnacentral:piRNA from 1 species
UGCAGGAGUGUCCUCAGCAUUAGACCAGGG